UUGCGUGCAUGUGUUAAAACUGAGCCUUUACUGUUACUGCUGCCUCUUUUGUGAAAGAGUUGUCAGAGUUGACCAAAAAUCACUGCAGGACUCGACUUGAGAAUCGCAGCGGAUUUCAUUGAUUUGGAUUAAAAUUUCUUCUGGUCUUGGAAAUACAGUCCGCUAACACGUUUUAAUGCAGCUGCACGGAUGGUGGACGUCUGUGGCGCCUGUGAGUCAGGAUAGAUCUCGACUCCCAGCGAUCUGCAAUUUUCCACUUUAAUGGUAUUGGAAAUCAGAUUUGGCACACACCAAGACAACCCGCUAAUGGCACACGUUCUCUUGUUACCCCUCAAAGCAUAAACGUGCCCUACUUCCUCAAUCUCUGCUCUUUCCUUUUGUUUCUGCGGAUGACAUCAUGGACCUCUGUGGUCUGAGUGUAUUAUCGAUGGGCGGCAGCGCUCUGGAUCUGAAGUCUGUGAGGUCACUGUGUCAUUUUGAGAGGAAUGUGAAGCCAUUUUAAUGCGCCUGAUUACAGCCACCA